rnacentral:rRNA from 1 species
CCCUUAGAUGUUCUGGGCUGCACGCGCGCUACACUGAUGCGCUCAACGAGUUUUAACCUUGCCUGGAAAGGUUGGGUAAUCUUUUUAAAACGCAUCGUGAUGGGGAUAGAUUAUUGCAAUUAUUAAUCUUCAACGAGGAAUUCCUAGUAAACGCGAGUCAUCAGCUCGCAUUGAUUACGUCCCUGCCCUUUGUACACACCGCCCGUCGCACCUACCGAUUGAAUGUUUCGGUGAAGAUUCCGGAUAGGACUUUUUUGAUUUAUUUCAAUUCUGUCUUAAAAGCUAUCUAAACCUCAACAUUUAGAGGAAGGUGAAGUCGUAACA